CUGAUCGCGCGGCUCUGCAGAGCGCGCCUGUCAGGCAGCAGGGGCAGUCCUAGCGCCGUCCUGCGCUCGCCGCUCGGUGAUUCCAGCGCUCGGGGCAGCGGAUGGGAUGCCCCGCUAAGCUCGAGGCUGCGUGUUCUCAGAGGCGCUUUGCUGGCCCCACGCCACCCUCAGAUAAGCUGUCUUGAAAACAAUCCAUUUCUCUUUAGCCAGACCAAGAUGGAAGCUCCACUGGUGAAUCUGGAUGAAGAGUUUGAAGAUCUGAGACCUUGCUACUCUGAUGGCAGAGAAGAAAAAAAACAUUGUUUUUAUGGCUCAUCCCCUCAGCAUUUAGAAGAUGCCUCCCUUUCUGAGCUUGAAAACUUCUCUUCUGAGAUCAUCAGCUUCAAGUCUAUGGAAGACUUGGUGAAUGAAUUUGAUGAGAAGCUCAAUGUCUGCUUUCGGAAUUACAAUGCCAAAACUGAGAACCUGGCUCCUGUAAAAAAUCAUCUCCAGAUACAAGAGGAGGAAGAGAAUCUUCAGGAUGAGGAGGUUUGGGAUGCUCUAACGGAUAACUACAUCCCAUCAAUCACUGAGGACUGGAGGGACCCCAAUAUUGAGGCACUGAAUGGCAAUGUUUCUGACUCAGAGAUCCAUGAGAAGGAGGAGGAGGAGCUCAAUGAGAAGAGUGAAAAUGAUUCUGGUAUUAAUGAGGAGCCUCUACUUACAGCAGAUCAGGUAAUUGAAGAAAUUGAGGAGAUGAUGCAAAACUCCCCAGACCCUGAAGAGGAAGAAGAGAUCUUGGAGGAGGAUGAUGGAGGAGAAACUUCAUCUCAGGCCGAUUCAAUUCUUUUGCAGGAAAUGCAGAAUUUGACACAGACCUUUAACAACAAUUGGUCCUAUGAAGGUUUGGAAGAAAUGUCAUUUUCUGAGCUGUCAGAGCUCCUGGAUCGUGUUGAGGGUGCUAUACGUGACUAUUCAGAGGAGCUGGUGCAGCAGCUGGCCCGGCGAGAUGAGCUGGAGUUUGAGAAAGAGGUGAAAAACUCCUUCAUCACAGUGUUGAUUGAAGUACAGAACAAGCAGAAAGAACACAGAGAGAUGAUGAAAAGGAGGAGGAAAGAAAAAGGGCUAAGUCUGCAGAGCAGUCGAAUAGAAAGAAGCAACCAAAUGCCUCUCAAGCGAUUCAGCAUGGAAGGAAUAUCGAAUAUCUUGCAGACUGGUAUUCGGCAGACAUUUGGGAACCCAGGGAAUGAUAAACAGUAUUUGAACACGGUUAUUCCAUAUGAGAAGAAAAGUUCACCUCCUUCUGUUGAGGAUCUGCAGAUGCUGACAAACAGAAUAUCACUAGAAGCUCAUGCAGUCUGAACCAGAUUUCUACCUCCCUGAGAUCCGUUCCUGCCAGCCAGCUGCCCCUGGCAAAACCCAGGAUUCCAGAGGAGAAUGAUUUGGCAAGAGAGAGUUCCAGACUUAAAGGCCACCAUCAUUAAACAUUGCUCAAUAUCUGACAAGUUUGAGGGCCUAAAGGAAAUGUAAGAAGAAGAGAUGUUUGGGAAUCCUACUGAGGCAUCAAUGAUGUAUGAGGGCUGCAGAUAAUUAGAGGGAUUUCCUAAAGGAGGAGAGGAUCAUGACAGUCACCACUGGACCGCUGGAGCAGCUGAAGAAGAGGCUUCCAAUCUAAACCAGGAGCUGGCAUAACGAAAUUUUGACAGAGUUUUAAAUGCAGUGAUUUCUAAUGGAUAUAAUGAACAGACAUAUAGCUCUGCUAGAGAAUCCUCAAAACUCCCCGCCUUGCACAGGGAGAAGAAAUCACCACCAAUAGAGCUUCCAGCCCUCCACAUAGAACUUGUCCUUACAUGUUAUGUAUACUGUAUUCACCCCCCAUAAGUCAAUUUACACUAUUUGUUUUAAUUUAUAGUUUUUGUACUCUCUUGUGUGUGGUUCAUAGAUAAAUAUAU